rnacentral:rRNA from 1 species
UAGAGCUUGUUCCUGGCUCAGAUUGAACGCUGGCGGCAUGCCUUACACAUGCAAGUCGAACGGCAGCGGACCUUCGGGUGCCGGCGAGUGGCGAACGGGUGAGUAAUGUAUCGGAACGUACCUUUCAGUGGGGGAUAACGUAGCGAAAGUUGCGCUAAUACCGCAUAUUCUGUGCGCAGGAAAGCAGGGGAUCGCAAGACCUUGCGCUGAUUGAGCGGCCGAUAUCAGAUUAGCUAGUUGGUGGGGUAAAGGCCUACCAAGGCGACGAUCUGUAGCGGGUCUGAGAGGAUGAUCCGCCACACUGGAACUGAGACACGGUCCAGACUCCUACGGGAGGCAGCAGUGGGGAAUUUUGGACAAUGGGGGCAACCCUGAUCCAGCCAUGCCGCGUGAGUGAAGAAGGCCUUCGGGUUGUAAAGCUCUUUCGGCCGGGAAGAAAUCGCAUGGGCUAAUACCCUGUGCGGAUGACGGUACCGGCAUAAGAAGCACCGGCUAACUACGUGCCAGCAGCCGCGGUAAUACGUAGGGUGCGAGCGUUAAUCGGAAUUACUGGGCGUAAAGCGUGCGCAGGCGGUUUCUUAAGCCAGACGUGAAAUCCCCGGGCUUAACCUGGGAACUGCGUUUGGAACUGGGAGACUAGAGUGUGUCAGAGGGAGGUGGAAUUCCACGUGUAGCAGUGAAAUGCGUAGAGAUGUGGAGGAACACCAAUGGCGAAGGCAGCCCCCUGGGUCGAUACUGACGCUCAUGCACGAAAGCGUGGGUAGCAAACAGGAUUAGAUACCCUGGUAGUCCACGCCCUAAACGAUGUCAACUAGGUGUUGGGUGGGUAAAACCAUUUAGUACCGUAGCUAACGCGUGAAGUUGACCGCCUGGGGAGUACGGCCGCAAGGUUAAAACUCAAAGGAAUUGACGGGGACCCGCACAAGCGGUGGAUGAUGUGGAUUAAUUCGAUGCUACGCGAAAAACCUUACCUACCCUUGACAUGUCUGGAAUCCCGAAGAGAUUUGGGAGUGCCCGAAAGGGAGCCGGAACACAGGUGCUGCAUGGCUGUCGUCAGCUCGUGUCGUGAGAUGUUGGGUUAAGUCCCGCAACGAGCGCAACCCUUGUCGUUAACUGCCAUCAUUUAGUUGGGCACUUUAACGAGACUGCCGGUGACAAACCGGAGGAAGGUGGGGAUGACGUCAAGUCCUCAUGGCCCUUAUGGGUAGGGCUUCACACGUCAUACAAUGGUCGGUACAGAGGGUUGCCAAGCCGCGAGGUGGAGCCAAUCCCAGAAAGCCGAUCGUCGUCCGGNUUGCNGGCUGCCCCUCGCCUGCNUGNNGUCGGNNUCGCUNGUNNUCGCGGAUCNGCNUGUCGCGGUGNNUNCGUUCCCGGGUCUUGUNCNCNCCGCCCGUCNCNCCNUGGGAGCGGGUUCCGCCNGNNGUAGGUAGCCUANCCGCAAGGGGGNCNCUUACCNCGGCGGGCUUUGAGAGUGGGGUGAAGUCGUAACAAGGUAACCAAUCGAAUCCCGCGGCCGCCAGGCGGCCGGAGCAGGAGGGGGCCC